GGAGUAUGAACCGUAUCUCAGUUCCAUUGUGGCUGUUCAUCCUCUCAGACCAGCUACUGAUCGUCGCCUUGGUGGGCUUUUACCUCACCAACCAGCUAAUCAGACGCAGAUUCCUCUCUUCGCGAUAAAUCUUUAAUCAGCAAACCAUGCGACUUGUUGAUAACAUCCGGAAUUAGCAUCUCUUUCGAGAUGUUAUGCCGGACGAAGAGGCAGAUUAUCUACGCGUUACUCACCCGUUCGCCGCUCGGCAUUGCUGCCUCGCUCGACUUGCAUGUAUAAGACGCGCCACCAGCGUUCGUU
rnacentral:rRNA from 1 species